GCGGCUCCAGAUGAUAGCAGGAGGCCGCGAGUGGGGGAGGGAGGAGGGACCGAGGGAGCGCGGAUCCCGGCGCUCGGAUCGCAAACUCCGAGCCAGCGUUCUCCGCGCGCGCCCGAGCCGCUGGCCGCCCGCGCAGCCCGACGCGGAACCGGGGCGCAGCGGGAGGCCGUUCAGGGCGGGCGCGGGGCGGCGGCCGUCCAUGCGGCGGGCUCGGGGCUGCCCGGCGCCGGGAACCACGCGGGGGCGAGGCGAGGCGGCCACCGGCCGCUCCGGGACGCGGACCGCCAGGAUUUGAACACCACUCUCAUCUGCAGAAAAUUGGCAACAUCUCCGAGGAGCCCUUGCUUUUCCUGGGACCCCCAGCAUCAUGGUUGUUCCCCGUUUCAUGGAGUCUUUCAGUGUCCUGGGUUCCCUCCUGCUGCUUGGAUUCCAGCUCGUCUGCCCACAGCCCUCCACUGAACACAGAAAGGUCCCGCAGCGGAUGGUGGCGGCGGCCGAAGGCGCUCAGGAGGACGGCGGCGGAGGCGCCCCGGGCGUCUGGGGCGCCUGGGGGCCCUGGUCCGCCUGCUCGCGCAGCUGCAGCGGCGGCGUGAUGGAGCAGACGCGGCCCUGCCUG
rnacentral:lncRNA from 1 species